AGAGUUUGAUCCUGGCUCAGGAUGAACGCUGGCGGCAUGCCUAACACAUGCAAGUCGAUCGGUAAGGCUCUUCGGAGUACACGAGAGGCGGACGGCUGAGUAACGCGUAGGAACACACCCUGCAGUGAGGGAUAAGACACCGAAAGGUGUUCUAAUACCGCAUACGGUCUUCGGAUUAAAGCAUUUAUGCGCUGAAGGAGUGGCCUGCGUCAUAUUAGAUAGUUGGUGAGGUAAUGGCUUACCAAGUCGAUGAUGUGUAGCUGGUCUGAGAGGAUGAUCAGCCAGACUGGAACUGAGACACGGUCCAGACUCCUACGGGAGGCAGCAGUGAGGAAUAUUUCACAAUGAGCGAAAGCUUGAUGGAGCAAUGCCGCGUGCAGGAUGAAGGCCCUCGGGUUGUAAACUGCUUUUAUAAGAGAAGAUUAUGACGGUAACUUAUGAAUAAGGGACGGCUAACUACGUGCCAGCAGCCGCGGUCAUACGUAGGUCCCGAGCGUUAUCCGGAGUGACUGGGCGUAAAGAGUUGCGUAGGCGGUCAAGUUAGCGAGCGAUGAAAACUAUCGGCUCAACCGAUAGCUUGUUGUUCGAACUGCUUGACUCGAGAGUAUCAGAGGUCGCUGGAAUUCCUAGUGUAGCAGUGAAAUGCGUAGAUAUUAGGAAGAACACCGAUGGCGUAGGCAGGCGACUGGGAUAUUUCUGACGCUAAGGCACGAAAGCGUGGGUAGCGAACCGGAUUAGAUACCCGGGUAGUCCACGCCGUAAACGAUGGAUGCUAAUUGUUUGAGGUAUCGACCCCUCAAGUAAUAAAGCUAACGCGUUAAGCAUCCCGCCUGUGGAGUACGGCCGCAAGGCUAAAACAUAAAGGAAUUGACGGGGAC
rnacentral:rRNA from 1 species